rnacentral:rRNA from 1 species
UGGGAACGUGCCUUUCGGUUCGGGAUAACCCAGGGAAACUUGGGGCUAAUACCGGAUACGCCCUUCGGGGGAAAGAUUCAUUGCCGAAAGAUCGGCCCGCGUCGGAUUAGCUAGUUGGUGGGGUAAUGGCCUACCAAGGCGACGAUCCGUAGCUGGUCUGAGAGGAUGAUCAGCCACACUGGAACUGAGAUACGGCCCAGACUCCGUACGGGAGGCAG